GACGAACGCUGGCGGCGUGCUUAACACAUGCAAGUCGAACGGAAAGGCCCUGCUUUUGUGGGGUGCUCGAGUGGCGAACGGGUGAGUAACACGUGAGUAACCUGCCCUUGACUUUGGGAUAACUUCAGGAAACUGGGGCUAAUACCGGAUAGGAGCUCCUGCUGCAUGGUGGGGGUUGGAAAGUUUCGGCGGUUGGGGAUGGACUCGCGGCUUAUCAGCUUGUUGGUGGGGUAGUGGCUUACCAAGGCGUUGACGGGUAGCCGGCCUGAGAGGGUGACCGGCCACACUGGGACUGAGACACGGCCCAGACUCCUACGGGAGGCAGCAGUGGGGAAUAUUGCACAAUGGGCGGAAGCCUGAUGCAGCGACGCCGCGUGAGGGAUGACGGCCUUCGGGUUGUAAACCGCUGUCAGCAUUGAAGAAGCGAGAGUGACGGUAGUUGGUGAGAAAGCGCCGGCUAACUACGUG
rnacentral:rRNA from 1 species